CCACACUCCAUACCAGUGGUGGCAGUAAUGCACACCUUCAGAUUUUUGCCAACUGCCAUUAAACUCCAGUAGAAGAAGAAGAAGAGCAAAGAGCGCGAAAAGAAGCAACAAAAUUGCAGAGGAAAGAUAGAGAAGUAGAAAAACACACUUGCUCUUAAAGGUGGGGGAGACAUUAAAGAGUGUGUGAAGACAGUAAUGGUUGCAACUUUAACACAUGCUCUGGCCAAGAAUAUGGACAUGCGAGGCAUAAAUGGGAAGAUUGGCUUCCAGCACUUGCAAGUGAAAGAAGUUGUGAUUGUGGGUGUGCGAUGUAAUUGCCUAACCUCUGAUGCCACGGACCAACAAAUAGAAACGAAAAUAAAAAAAUGGCUUCAAAUGCACCCGAUCGCAAUGGCGGGAGAACUGAACGAAUGAAAAGGAAAAAUGUUAACUGAUGAUGCUGCUGUUUGAAUGGAUGUUGCUACUGUUAAGCUACU